UGGGAGGUAAAUUUCUCCUAAGGCUAAAUAUUGGCGAGAGACCGAUAGCGAACAAGUACCGUGAGGGAAAGAUGAAAAGAACUUUGAAAAGAGAGUAAAAUAGUACGUGAAAUUGUUGAAAGGGAAACGAUUGAAGUCAGUCGUACCGACGUGAAAUCAACUCUUCGAGUGCGGGCUUGUGGGCUGCGGGUGUCUCGUUGUUUGCAACGUCUGUGCUUUUUGGGUGUACUUUUUCGUAUGGUAGGCCAACAUCAGUUUCGAUCAUUAUAAAAUGACCGGAGGAAUGUAGCUUCGAUUUCGGUUGAAGUGUUAUAGCCUUUGGUAGAUGUGGUGAUAGGGACUGAGGAUUGCAACGAAUACCCUUUGGGCUAUCCGUCUGACCUCUGAAAGUUGCUUAGGUGCCGAAAGCGUGCUUACGGUCAUUUAACGCAACGGUCAAAAGGUUAGAACGUGAUUACAUUCGUUAAGGAUGUUGGCGUAAUGGCUUUAAACGACCCGUCUUGAAACACGGACCAAGGAGUCUAACAUAUAUGCGAGUGUUCGGGUGUUCAAACCCCUACGCGUAAUGAAAGUAAUUUAGGUGAGAUCGCUUUUUUGCGUGCACCAUCGACC
rnacentral:rRNA from 1 species